rnacentral:rRNA from 1 species
UACAGAGGGUGCGAGCGUUGUCCGGAAUCACUGGGCGUAAAGGGCGCGUAGGUGGCGCGACAAGUCAGUGGUGAAAGUUCGACGCUCAACGUCGAAUCGGCCACUGAUACUGUUGGGCUUGAGCACUGUAGAGGCUAAUGGAAUUCCGGGUGUAGCGGUGGAAUGCGUAGAGAUCCGGAAAGAACACCCGGUGGCGAAGGCGGUUAGCUGGGCAGUUGCUGACACUGAGGCGCGACACGUGGGGGAGCAAACAGGGAUAGAAA